UGUUGUAUUACCAGUCUAGCCUGCCCACUGAGUUGUUUAAAGGGCCGCGGUAUUUUGACCGUGCGAAGGUAGCAUAAUCAUUAGUUUUUUAAUUGAAAACUGGAAUGAACGGUUGGACAAAAAGAAACCUGUUUUAAUUAUAUUAAUAAAACUUAACUUUUAAGUGAAAAGGCUUAAAUAAGAUUUAAAGACGAUAAGACCCUAUAAAACUUUACAUUUUUAUAGUUUAAUUCUAUUUAUUUGUGAAUAAGAGUUAAUUUAUAUUUAUGUUUCAUUGGGGUGAUGAAAGCAUAAAAAUAACUGCUUAAUUUUUUUACAGAUAAUUUUUGACUAAUAAGAUCCUAAGCCAUUAAGAAUAAAGAAAAAGUUACUUUAGGGAUAACAGCGUUAUUUUUUUUGAGAGUUCUUAUCGACAAAAAAGUUUGCGACCUCGAUGUUGAAUUAAAAAUGCUUUGUAGUGCAGCAGCUACAAGAGCAGGUCUGUUCGACCUUUAAAGUUUACAUGAUUGAGUCAAACCGGGG
rnacentral:rRNA from 1 species